GGGGCGAGAGUUUGAGCGAAGAUCUUAUGCGAGUCAUCAAGAACAGCAAUAUUUUGAUCCCAAUUAUCUCUGUGAAUUAUGCUUCUAGCAAAUGGUGCCUUGAUGAACUUGUUGAAAUGAUGAAGUGCAAGAAUUGCUCAGGGCACAUAGUGUUACCUAUAUUCUACGAUGUGGAACCUGCGGAUGUGCGAGAUCAAAAGGGUCAAUUUGGAGAGGCAUUUCAUUAUUCCGGUAGGCGUUUCAAUCAAAAGUCUACCGCAGAAUGGAAGCAAGCGCUGAUAGAAGUCAGUUCCUUACAAGGAUGGCAAUUUGCUAAUGGGUAAUUCAUUCUUUAACCAGCACUUUAUUUGCUUUGACGAUGUCAACACCAGUCAAAAUGAUAAUUUUUUUAUCGAUCUGAUUCAUUCGUUUUAAGAAUGAAACUCCUUUACUAUAAAAUUUUGCCUUCCUUUAUGCAAGGAUUCUCUAACUUAUAUUUUGCUUAUUUCCGCCUACAUAAAAGCAGCGUAACUGUGUUUAUCCCUACGAAUAAGAUUUGGAUUAUUAUGAUGACUUACGCCUCUGAAAGAGCCCAAAAGAAGAAGAAGAAGAGAAGACUGUCUUAGUGGUUUAGUAAAUUAUUUUCCGGUGUAGUUCUUCCAUCUCGUUUUUUCUUUCUUACGCCGAGGAAACACAUCAUUAUUCAACUUCCUGUCAAACUCCACGUUAGAUUAAUCAACAUCAUAGAACAUAGAUACUACUCAAAAGGAAAACUAGAAAAAAAAAUGCUUCCUAUUAUGAUCCAUAUCCUUAACGGACCACAGAUUUUGAAAUUUAAUUCAGAUCCUUAAUAUGUGCAAAACUUAAAGCUUCACUAGCCUCAAAUCUUUUUCUAAUUCAAUACAUUUAGAGUAACCUUGAAAGAAUUUAUGGGUGCAUCAUGUGGGGCAACCAUAUUUACUGGUCGGUGGGGAAGAAAAACAUACACUACCAACUGGGGGUGCAAGGCAUGUGGGUACUGGUACGUUAAAAUAAGGAACGCAGCCUGGCAGGGCUCCUUAUUUGAGAACUACCGCAGUUGGCCCUUGCAGGUGGGAAACCACCCGGGUAGAGGUGAGGCAAAAGGAAGAGACAUCAACUAUCUUCCUUGAGCCAAGGAUCCAAUACACGCCCACAGAGCAGCCACGGGAUUGCUUUACCCGCUUUUAUCUUAGAGAUAAGAUAAGAAAUGGAGGUGGGAAAAAGAUUUAAAGGUUUUCCAAAUUAUCCCCAAAUUCUAUUGUUUGUGCUAUCAUUAGAAAAAAGCCAUAUCAUUUGAACUCAUUUUGUUUGACAGGCCUGCGGGACAAUUGAUGGAAUCACUUGUGCAAAAAGUUUUGGACGAGUUGAAGAAAGCAGUGGACUUGGAUGAUCUUGAGAAUUUGGUCGGAAUUGAUAGUCAUGUGGAGGAGGUUAUGAAAUUAAUAAAUAAGUGUUCUGGAGCUACCCUAUGUGUGGGAAUUUACGGAAUAGGGGGUAUCGGUAAGACGACUCUUGUUAAUGUCAUCUACAACAAGCUAUUAAAUCAAUUUGAGCAUUGUAGCUUCAUUGCUGACAUUAGGGAAUCAUGCAAUCGCAAUGGUAUUAGUUACUUGCAAAAUCAAUUAAUCAGUGAUAUAUUGCGAAGAAAUAUUCGAUUGCAUAACAAGGAUCACGGAAUCCGCAUCAUCUCAUCCAAGCUUAAAGAUAUGAAAGUCCUCAUUAUUCUAGAUGAUUUGGAAACCACCGAUCAGUUAGCGGCUUUGGCUGGAAAUCUUGAAUGGUUUGGCUCAGGAAGUAGGAUCUUUGUUAUCACUAGAAAUGAGAGGGUUCUUGAUAGGGCCAGAGUGGACAUCAAGUACGAGCAUGAGGAAAUGGGUAUGGAACAAGCUCUGAUCCUAUUUUCUAGACAUGCAUUUCGAAGUGACUUUCCUCCUAGUGAGUUUUCAAUUCUCACUCAUAUAGUGGUAUCUACAAUAGGAGGGCUUCCCUUAGUUCUCAAGGUUGUAGGUUCAUUUUUGUGUGGAAAACCAGCAGUGCUAUGGGAAAAAACAAUAGUUAACAUGCGAAAAAUACCGCAUGAGGAAGUGGCAAGAAAGUUGAUGGUAAGUUAUGAAGAAUUGGAGGAGGAUCAAAGACAAAUGUUCCUGGAUAUAGCUUGUUUUUUAAUUGGGAGUGAUGUAAGAGUUGCCUACUACAUGUGGGAUGCUUGGGGCUUUUUUGCGAGGCAAGGAAUUGAAGUACUGAGAUCUUUGUUAUUCAUAAGUAUUGGAGAUAAUCACGAGUUCAGAAUGCAUGACCAAAUGAGAGAUCUUGCCAGGGAAAGUGUGCUUGCAGAAUACUGCUGCAAACCUCAUAAACGUAGUAGAUUGUGGCAUUACGAGGAAGCCUUGGAAGUGCUACAGAGCAAAAGGGUAACUUUAUAUUUUUCUUCUGCUCCCGUAGUAGUCUAUGUUCUCUUGUUUUAAAUGACGUUAAUGUGCUGGUAUUAUUUUAUUGACGUGAUUAGGAAAGCAGGUUGCUCCUUCUUAGUUUGUGCUGCAGUUUUCCGCCUUUGUAGUUUAGAAAGUCAUGGCCAUUGACAGAGAAUCCAUUCACGAACAUAAUGUAGAAAACUGACCGGCAAAUACUUAAAUGCAGACUUUUCCAUUUUCUAUAUUGAGAGAGACAAAAUAACUGACCCAGGUAAGCCAUAAUUAAAAAGUACGCUUUCCGGUGAAGCCUAAUUUAACUGAUGUGCGUCUUAUCUUGUUUGGUUGUCAUCUGACAUUUAUGAGCUUAUUAACUGUAUCCAAAAUUAUCAUCCUCAUUAAUUUUGAAAUUUAGUUAAUGCAACUGAAAUAGAAUUAUCAGUCGCCUUCAUUGAUUUAGUAAGUUAUACACACCAGUUGUUUUGUUAUAUUCGUAAAUCACUUGUUCAUGCUCAUUUAUAUAUCAUCUUAAAGACUUUGAUAGGAAUAUUCAGGGAAGAGAAAAGGGGGAAAAUCCCUAAAACGUACAAACUCCUCUUCCUUCAUGUGAUAUUACAGACGUGUGCGCUCCUUUUUUUUUUUUUUUUUUCCACUAGUCAGAGAGCACACAGAUUGUUUGCGAAGACAAAAGGUUAAGAGAAUAAGUAACGAAAAAAUUACGUUUGUAGAUUUGAUUUAUUUUGGAAUGACCGUUUUCAAUCGGAAAUUGAAAAUUUUUAAAUUUAAUUUUUGAAAGUGUCGGUGAAAUUGAAGAACCACCUCGUAAUUAUCUCGAUAACUUUUAGUUAGGGUUUUAUCUAUUGUUUAAUGAUGGCAUCAAUAAAUUGCAUGGACUUUUAUGGAAGAUUUUAGGUAUGAGUUUGAAACUGAAAAUUGAUAUCGAGUUUACUGUAUAUUAAGUAGAAAUAAUUGAUAUUAUUUCACUGAGUUGGUAAGAUGCAACAUUUGUGAUCCUUGGUUUUGUACUUGUAGGGAACUGGAAGGAUUCAAGCCAUUUGUCUUGAGCAAGGCAACUCUAAUUAUAUAAUUGAUCAAGCGAGCCGCACAUUUACGGAUGAACCAUUUAGAAACUUAUCGAACUUGAGGUUUCUUCACAUGAAUGCUGUGAAUCUUGUCGGAGAUUUUAGUAAAUUAUUUUCUCAGUUAAGAUGGCUCAAAUGGGGGAAUUGUCCCUCAAAUUUUGAAGCAAGCAACUUUCAUGCGGGGGAAUUAGUCAUACUCGAUUUGUCAGGAAGCGCAAUUUCAGAUGUCUGGCAAGGAUGGCAUUCAAUGAUGGUAUGAUAUAAAAAUAUAAUCUUUUGCGUUUUUUUUUUUUUUUAGUGGGAACAACUCAUUGCUGACCCCAUGAUAUAUUCUUUCUUGCAGAAGGCAGAAAAGCUGAAAGUUCUCAAUCUCACAAGUUGCCAUUCCUUAAAAGGGACUUCUUACCUCUCAGCUUUUAAAAGAUUGGAGAUUUUGAUCCUCAGAGAUUGUAGCGCAUUGGAGCAAAUUGAUAAUUGUAUUGGAGACAUGGAGAACCUCAUUUCCCUGGACUUAAGUGGAUGUUCUCUUCUUGAGAGGCUCCCGCUUCAAAUGGCUAAAUUAGAACAGUUGAAGGAGCUUCUUCUAGAUGAAACUGCAAUACAAGAAAUUCCUUCCUUCAUCAGUUCUCUAAAAAAGCUGGACACUUAGUGCCAGGGAUUGCAAAUCAUUAAUUGGACGUCCGGUCUCAAUAGGCAGUUUGGGGAAUUUGUCGACCCUUGUUUCAUCAGGCUACGUUGAGAUUGCAACACUUCCGAACGGCAUCGGAUUCCUUGAGAAUUUGUGGUGCUGGUCAUUGGGAAGCUGCCACCAAUUGAGAGAGAUUCCCAAUUCGAUUGGCAAGUUGAAAUUGUUGACUAGGUUGGACUUGAGUGGAUGUUCGCGUAUUGUGGAGCUGCCGCUUCAAAUGGGUGAACUAAAACAAUUGAAGAAACUACUGCGAUACAAGAAAUUCCUUCCUCCAUCGUUUCUCUAGAGAAGCUGGAGGAAGAUCAAACUAUGUUUUCUGAUAUUCCUUCCUACACGGACUAUCUAUUGGAGCUAGAGACGCUCAUUCCCAAGGACUGCGAAUUAACUCGAUAAGCUGUUUAGUGAAUUUGCUGACCCUUCUCUUAUCAAGCUGUGUGGAGUUUUUUGGAUUCCUUGACAUCAUUGGGUUUCUUGUGAAUCUACGGUGCUUGUCAUUGGGAAACUGCCAUGAAUUGAGAGAGAUCCCUAACUCAAUCGGGAAGUUGGAAUUGUUGACUCAACUGGACUUAUCAUGGACAAGGAUCACGGAAUUGCUUGAAGGAACUUCUGGGUAUCCGUAACAGUAGCAUAGAAACGCUACCGAUGGUAUUGGAAGGUUGGAAAAAAGUCUUGAGUUAUAUGCAUGAUGGUGCUCAAAUUUGGGAGGGAAUACCAAGCAUCCUUAAUCUUUCUUCUUUCAAGCCUUGUGCAUUUUGAUUUAAUGCCCAAUAAUCUGGAAUUCUUGUGGAUUUUUAUUCAAAUGAGUGGUUUGUGAUUUAGGUUUGGGUUUUCAUGAUGAAGUGGAAGCUGCAAUGUCAUUUCUGAUCUCUGCUCAUGGUGAAGUUUAGGAACCUGUUGGUGCUGUUGACGAUAGUGUUAUCUGCACAGCUUCCUUAAAUGGCGCCCUAUCUACUGCAGAUGCUCGGAAGAUUGUUAGAAGCAGCAGUAUUGAAUAACAUGGUGAUUCGUAACGUCUGGAAAUUACAGAUUGUUCAGCAGAAAAUUUGGUAUUUUUUAAAAAUAUUUUCAGGAAGGUAUUUUCCUGAAAAAUGAGAACAUUUUGUGAGUGGCCGAAAUGUAAAAAUGAACUGUCAAUUAUUUUCCUUCAUUUGAAAAGGAAAACUUGAUUUUACUUUGUUAAAGAGAUGUGCAUAAGGGAUACCUAGCAACAAGGGUUUCAAUUGUAGGAGUCGGGGUUUCUCUAUUGCAGAAAACAAGCGAUUGGAAGAGAAAAUAAAAAGAGAAGGAAACAAAUCACAUACCAAAUUUAUGUGAUUUGUCUGGCAAGACUUAUUCUUUGAAGAGAGGACCAAAUGAUUCUACUACAGAUCAAAUAAUACAAUGGAGAUCUCAAACGCAUUCGAGUCACAUGACUACUCUCAAUACAUCUUAACUCACGAUCACAUCUAAAAACUCACACAGUGUUCAACCUUCAUAAUAAGAAAAUAUCUCAAAGGAUAUAACAAAUCUUAUCAAAACACUUGCAAUUUCUACAUGAUGUGAUUCAUGAAAAUGUAGUCUCUAUGAUACUUUUUACUAAAAAUCAUUAAAUAAUAUCAAUUUAAUUUUUUUUCAUCAAUUUUAUUUUAUGAUUUUGUGGAUGCAAGUCACCCAAGCCAAUACCAGAAUUAUCUAGAAGAUCAUUGUCGAAACGGUGAUUCCUUUGAUGCAAUGAUGUACAGGCAGAGACGUGUGACAAAAGUUGCGAAGAUCCCUAUUUUCUUGAUAAAGGCAUGUGAAGCAGGUAAGUCAUCUUUUUUUUUUUAAAUUAAAAUAAUUUAAUUAUGUUUUGUUUAUUUUACAAAAAAUAAUUAAAAAAAAUAUUAUUCGAAUUUUUCAGCAUUUAAUUUAUGAAAAAUAAACUAAUUAGGGAAAUAUUUUCCAUCAAUGGAAGAAACAAUUUCAAAAAUUGAGAAAAUAAUUUCGUUUUCUGAAAAGAGAAAUUCCAUUUUCCAUUCUCUUUCUUUCACCUCUAGACCAAUCACUUUCAUUCAUCCACUAUGAUUUCGAAUAUAAUAUUAAGUUGAAAAAUUGUUGAUGAAGUGCAAGAGGUGACAAAGAGGAAUCUCUUUAGUUAGGGUGUAGCAAUAAAGCAAAGGCAUUGGCUAAACAAAGUCAAUGCCAUUUGUGAGUAUUCACUAGUUAUAGGACAUUGUGUUGUGUACAAGGAAGUACUAAAUAGUAUCUUGAUCGGAACGCGUGACCUGAAAUAUAGUCGACAAAUAAACAAUAUGAUUGGCCGUGAGAAGCCAAUAAAACUAAGUUCACAAGGGGGGAAUAGUUUACAUUUAUCGAUUGAUAGACGAAUUGAUAUCAAUCGAGUCAAAAAGUACUGACAUCAAUUCACUAAGUUUGAAUGAAAUCAAAUCGAUUAGAAGGACAAAAAUAGCUGGAACAAUUAUCAAAGGUUUGAUGGACAAUUGCGGUCAAGCAUUAAUUGAAGUUGAGUCAAUUAGUUGUUGCAGUCAAGCUCCCAAGGGGAUCAAUAAUACCAUCAAAUAUGGAGCCGAAAUUUGAUUUCAAUGAGUGAAAAUGGUUAUUAUGAUAGGCUAGCCACCCAUGGAGUAUGCAAAGAGCGCAUGAGGAAAUGAUGCGCACAAACAUCCGAAAAACAAGAUUUACUUCUGUCAAUGCACUUCUUUACAAUUUAUUUUCACUCGUUUCACAGCGAUUUAUUUCUUAUCAUGCUAGUUGUUUAUUUCUAUUUAUCCAUCAACAAGUGCCCUCAUUCUUUUGGAAAGACGUGUUGUCAUCAGUCGAUUCAUUUCAUCAGUUUAAAAGCCCAUUCAUCAAGUGUUUGGUGCGUGGUUCCGUCAAAUUAACGUACAAGAACUGUGAUGUUUGACUAGGAUUGUUGAUCAAUCAGAGCGGAAUAAUUCCUUAUGUCGAGUCAAUGAAACGGAGAAGUUUUUGAGCUUUGAACUGGAUUGGCACAGACUUGGUUAGUGAUCCUCACUGUAAUUCCUACUCACUAUCAUAGGAGCAAGUGGUCACUUGUGAAUUCUCACCACACGUCGUGCUGAUAGGAUUUACAGCUUUGAUUCAUCAGUAAAUCCAUUUGAUAUUUGUCUGCUAAACUUUGUUGUAGAACUUAAGAGUUUCUUACUUAAGGAAGUCGUCGUCGGAGUUGGCUUGGAAUGGAUAUAUCCACUAGGGGUGUCAAUAGUUCGGUUCGGUUCGAUUUUUUUGAAAAACCGAACCAAACCGAACCGAAUCGUUAGAAAAAACUUCCAAACCGAACCGAAUGAGACCUGAACCAAACCGAAAUUUUGGUUCGGUUCGGUUCAGCUUUUCGGUUUUUGGUUUUCAGCUUUUGGUUUUUGUUUUUUUUUUUUUCUGUUCAACUCAAAAUAAUCUAAAUUCAAUAUGUUAACUUCAAGCUUAAAGGAUUUUGCAAUUUAGAUCAUAUACUACAUUCCCUUUUUCAAGCAUUGGCCAAGUAAUGAUAUCCAAUUUAAACAAUUGUUUAACAUAAUCAAUUGAGACUUGAUUGAGGCUUUUUUGAAAUAGUGCGAGUGGCCCUGCAAAGAAACUACUUGGGAGAUCAUACACAAAAAUGGAUUUCAAGAAGGAAAAAGAAGAAAGUGAGAACAUGGCAUUUGAAAGUCGUGAAAAAUCACAAUUUUGAGAAGAUCACAAAAAAAAGAAAAAAAAAAAAAGAAAAGAAGAAUAAGCGAAAGGUGAGCUUCACUUGGACCCGUGUCAAUUAACUAAUGAACUAGAAUAUUAGCUAAGAGGCACAACUAAAGCCUGCAAAGUUUUAAUGUACGCAUUAGUAUUACGAUCAUAUAGCUGAUAGAUUGGUUGGGGGUAAAUGCUCGCCUAUUUAUUAUUCGCAGCUAAAUAUUCUAAGAAGUUUAAGUUAAUGAACUACCGUGUCAUUUUUUUUAACAUGAUAUGAUCUAAACACUUUUUAACACAUUUAAUAUUAAGCUUCAAAGGACUUUUUCAUUCAUUGUUUCUUGUACCCUACUAAAACCAGGUCUCUUUUCAUUUUCUUUCAAAUCAGAGGCUGAAAAUCAGAAAGUGCUAGACUCAGGGCCUUGGUCAUUUUCUAGCAAUCUCUUAGUGUUACAGCAAUGCGACCCAGACACUCUAGAAAUGUGUUAUGAGUUCAUCCAUUGCCCAUUUUGGGUGCAUCUUUAUGGACUCCCAUUUGGAAGAGUAUCAAAUGAAAUAGUGAAAGAGAUAGCCUCUAAACUUGGGGAGGUUAUAGAUGUCAAGCUGGAAGCAAAGGGGAGCAGCAAUUAUAAAGUAGGCAAAGCUAGAGUAAUUCUGAAUCUGGCUAAUCCCCUCAAGACAGGCAUUGUUAUCAACCUAGGAAAUAAAAACCUAUGGAUAUAAUUUAAAUAUGAGAGACUCCCACAUUAUUGUUAUUCUUGCGGUAAGAUUGGGCAUUAUGCCACGGCCUGCAAAGAAAUACCAUAUGAGCAGUCAGGGUUAGAGGAAAACUUGCCAGGCAAUUUUGGGCAAUGGCUCCGAGCGGAAGUGAAAGAAUUGAGUCCUUACGGGAAAAUAUUCUAUGGUAAACAAGCUGAAACCCAAACAGCACAAGGAAUGGUCCCUGAAAAUCCUAUUCCUACUACAACUGAAGAGGUUUAGAAGUUGAAAGAGGUAGCUGCGAAGCCUAGCGGGCCAUUUUGUGGACAUCAGCUCACUAUGGAGAAUGCUGAGGAGGAGGGUGAGAACUCCUCCUCUCCAUUAGCAAUUAUGUUAGUUGAAGAUAAAGGUACACAAAAGAGAGGUAGUAGUUGCUUAGAUGAUGAGUCUACUAUGGUGCUAUAUAAAGAACAAAUGAGGGAACUUGAAGCUGAGAUGCUAGAAAUCCUAGAAAUCUCACACAACCUAAUAAGGUGCAAAGCAAAAGGUACCAAACUAACCACAUCAAAAAAGGGAAAGGGAUUUUUCUCUUAUGGUGCGCAUUCUUCCAAAUUAGUAUCUUUAGACAUAUCACAACUAGUGGAUAACCCUAUCAUAGUGGAGGAGAAGGAAAUUAAGUGGGCUUUGGUGGCUAGCCCUAAUAGACCACUGGGUAACCCAUGAAGCUUCUGAGUUGGAAUUGUCAGGGGUUGGGCUCACCCUUGACAAUUCAAGCAUUGCGAGUCUUAGUGACUCAGGAAAGGCCCAGCAUAAACUUUUUAAUGGAAACAAAAAAUCAAGAGCAAAUGGUGCUAAAGCUACGAAGAAGGCUUAAGUUUCAAAACAGCUUCCUAGUAAAUCCCGUAGGAAUUGCUAGGGGCAUGACUAUUUUCUAGGAUGACUAGGUAGAUUUUUCAGUUGAAUCACAUACAAAUAACUUAAUAAACAUGCAUUGCCAACUUCAUGAAAGCAGACAGCUCAUGAAAAUCACCAACCUACAUGCCCCAAAUGAUUUCAAAGAAAGAGUACUCUUAUGGGAGGAUAUACAAAAAGCAAGUGCUGCAAAUUUCCUACCAUGGCUAUGUAUGGGUGACUUCAAUGAAAUUUUGUACCAUUGGGAGAAAGUGGGUAAAAAGAAGGCAGAACAUUUUCGACUCACAACGUUUAGAGAUUUUCUUCAUGCUUGUUCUCUGAUGGAUUUGGAAUGGAAGGGGUGUGCUUUACUUGGACUAAUUGAAGAGAAGAAGAUGAAUUUGUAAAGAAGAGGCUGGACAGGGCUCUAUGUUCAAUGGAGUGGAGGGUUGCUUAUCCAAAUGUUGAAGUAGUAGCCCUACUAGCUAUUGGCUUUGACCAUAGCCCACUAAUAUUGUCAAUCUCCCCAAAGAAUGAACGCAGGAGGAAGGAGUUUAGAUAUGAAGCUUUUUGGGCAGAAGAUGAGGAGUGCGAGCACAUUGUAAAGAGAGCUUGGUCCAAUUUAGAAUCUCCUAGAGCAAAUAUAGCAAGGAAACUCAAUCUAAUGGCUAAAUAACUUGCUGAAUGGAGCAAAAAACGCUUCCCCAAUGCACAGAAAAGAAUAUUAUGGCUGAAAAAUGAAUUCCAGAAUUUGCAAAAUAGUCCUGAAAUACAUGGGGAUAGUCAAAGAGUUUAGCAAAUGAAUAAAGAGAUCGAAUCCUUGUGGAGACAGGAGGAGAUGUUUUAGGGAAUGAGAUCUAGAAUUAGCUGGCUGAAAUAGGGUGAUAGAAACACAAAGUUCUUUCAUGCAACAACCAUAUAAAGGAGAACUAGAAAUCGUAUCUCUAUGCUCAAGAAUGCAUAAGGGGAAUGGGUUAGAAAUGAGGAUAAUCUCAACGAAAUGACAGGCACUUUCUUUAAUAAUCUUUAUACGUCGAUGGGUUCCCGAAAUUUCCAGCCUAUCCUAAGUCAAAUCCCUAGCUCAAUUGACGCAAUUAUGUACCAAAAGCUGAUUGAACCUGUUACUAUGGAGGAAAUUACUACCGCUACUCACCAAUUAGGAGCUACUAAAGAUCCAGGGCCGAAUGGUUUGAAUGGGUUAUUUUUCUAGCAUCAUUGGCAGGAAAUUAACCAGGAUAUCUUUAAGGAGGUACAACAAUUCUUUGAUACUGGACAAUUAAACCCAGACUUAAACAGAACCCUUAUCACCUUCAUCCCCAAAAACCCAAACCCCGAAAAGCUAGAACAAUUCCGCCCAAUUAGCCUAUGCAAUUUUGCUUAUAAAAUUAUUUCCAAAAUCCUUACAAACAAGCUGAAACAUUUGCUUCCAAACCUAAUUACAGCAGAACAAAGUACUUACAUGGGGGGCAGGCAGAUUCAAGAUAAUAUUCUGAUUGGCGACUCUCGGUUGUCGUGAAAAUCUUGAGAUUUCAAAUACGAACACAUGGUACAUAAAUGACAGAAAAAUCGGUCUAGUGCCGUUCGACGAGAAUUUUGUAAUUAGGUAGAAUCACCCACACACUAAUCACAUACUUCUGUUGAACCGACCUAUCUCCGGUCUCUAGUUGAUUUUGACAAUGCCGUAAUGACCAUUGCAGAUUAGCACAGUCAAACAGUUGAUCCUGGUCGAAUUCUCGAGUCUAUUGCGUUUAGAUUCCUUAAUGGCUUCACCUGAUAGGUUAGUUAUCUCAUGAGUGGCCAACUUAGAGAAAAGAAAUAUUGGCGUGUUGAUGAAAAAUCCAGCUUUUUCAAUCGAAAACAGAACCUGAAAAUCAGGAUGUCACAGGCAAUACUCCUAAACCUAUUCCCUCCCCCGAGGGAUAGGUCACGACAUUAAGCUAAAACUAAAUUCAGUCCCUAUAUUUGUCACGCCCCGAUCCUCGGACGCGCGCACAUCCUUCUACUUGGUCGAUUUUAGAAUGCGAUAUCCCAGGACUAUGUAUCGCCGACCCUUUCUUUUUAUUAAGCACAUGCGGAAGCAAUUAUAAAUCCCCAGACAAUAAAACAAUGGGAUAGGAAAGUAGGCCAUAUUUUUCAUAUUGAAAUUCAUAACCACACUUUCAUUAACAGCACAACUCAUAGUAUAUUUACAAUACUAUUUACAGCAUAAAAGUCUGACACCUAUCUACACUGAAACAGGGUUCACAAAAGGGAUGGGAUCCCAAUCCACAUCUGGGUUAUUUUCAAGAUCCCUCUCUGGAUCAUCUUCUACUUCAAAAUACUUUCUCCCCUUCAGGUUCCUCUUCCUUAGCUCCUCCUCAGGGUCCUGAAAUGAUUAUUCAAUAACCAAUGAGACCACGUCUCAGCGAGUCCUACCCACUAAGACCCGAUUAAUAAACUAAUACGCCAUACGGUUGCCUAAGCACAACACGAGUCAGAGGACUUACCUUGGCCUCAGUUCCAACCUGCAAUUCAAGGUUAAACACAAGUAUUCAAACAAUUCACGACAUUCGAUCAAGCACUGGCCAAUCGACUAAGUCGAUUACAUGUCAAUUAGACCCUCUCUAGGUCAUUCCCACUCAUACCACGCUUUCUCAGUGGUGUACUCAUUCACCAAAUCACAUGUGUUUCUCGGGCGUCGUUUUCGCCAAUGACAUACCGAUCACCGACACCGUGCGUUCUUUAAGGCGCCGUUUUCACCAGUGAUAACCUUGAUCACCGAACCACGUGUCCUUUCAAGGGCGUCGUUUUCGCCAAGGUGACAUCGGCUAUAGACAACAUCGUGCGUUCUUUAAGGCGCCGUUUUCACCAGUGAUAUUCCCAUAAUCACCGAACCACGUUUGUCUAUAAGUCAUUCACGUGCGUUCUUUAAGGCGCCGUUUUCGCCAGUGAUACUUCCAAUCACCGAACCACGUAUGUCCAAUAAUAUCGUACCUGAUUGGUCUCACCAUUCUCCCUACUAUAUAGCCCAUCAACGUACUGGCGCUAUAUACCCAUGCUUGGCCAUUACCAAUCAAAUAUUCAAUAACAAACAAUUUAGGACAAUUCCUAAAAUUCCACAAUAAAUUCAAUUCCACACAACGUAGAACUCAAAUAAAUAAACAGUCUGCACCACGACAAUCGGCACGAAAUUCCGGUCACCGGCCAUCCCGGUUGAAUUUCCGGAAAAAUAAUUAAUAAAAUAAAUAAAUUUCGAAAAUAAAUAAAUAAACAUUAAAAAUCCAAUUUAGGCCUAUAUUGCCUUAUUGGAGCCCGAAACGGGUCGGGAAAAAUCCCGAGAUGCAUUCAAUAAAUAACCAAACAUUUCUACUUGCUAAUAGCUAGGUCUAACCACCUAACAUGCAUCGUUAAGUCACUAAAUUAAAUGUUCUAACCUAAUCUAACCACCUAAGUGCAUGUAAUUAAAUCUAACCAACCUUAAGACAUAAUUAGCAAACUAAUAAAGCAUUAGUGAGUAAAACUCACUUGGCAAAAGCGGAGACCGAAUCACCGCGACGGCGGCCGAAAUCGAACUUUCGACAACACCGGCGGGCUUGGGACCGGGCCUUGACCUUGGCCCAACAAAUCUCAGCCCAACUGAGAUUUGUUCUUGCUUUUGGGCCAGACCCAAGUUGAAUUGGGCCUGCUGAAAUUUCUGGACUGACUUCACUUGGGCUUCAAAUUUCUUUGCUGGAAAUUGGGCCUCCAAUUUCAGUUGAUGGGCUGCUGAACUGGGCUUGACUAAUUACUUCACUUGGAUUGAACUGGGCUUGAAGAUUGCAGGAGAUGGGCCUUAAUAAAAUUCUGCUGAUGGGCUGCUAUUGGUGAGAUUCGAUUGGGCUGACUUGCGGGGCUUGUGCAGAAGCUUCGCUGGGCUGAAGAGUUGGGCCGCAAUCCACGAAGAGAUUUGCGUGGGCUGCUUCGGUCUUCGCUGGAGGGUGCUGCGACUUCAGCCAGUCAAUUGCUUCAGCAAUUGAGUUACACGAAGGAGAAAUGGAGGCCACGUGAACGAGGCAGCAAGCGGGGAUUCAAUGAAAUCAACGGUGGAGGAAAUUCUCGGGCAGCUUGCUAGCUUCUGUGGCCGACCAACCUCAGUGGAAUCGGGGCUUCAAGCGGUCAACCAAGAGCUCCAAUUGAAGCUGCGUGGAACUUGGGUCUUCGUGGGCAGAAGGCGCGAACGAGGGAGCAGCUUGGGUCUUCAUGGAGUGCAUUAGCACCGACGUGGCAGCUUCACGAGAUCAACAAAGUGGGACGGUUCUUGCUGGAGUUGACCGUGGAAGCUGCAGCUUGGCCGCGUGGCUGAAGAAGAAGGUUGCUGGGCUUCUUCGUUGGCGUCGUGGGGUCUUCGGUCAACAAACCGAAGCUUGUUGCUGGAGUUUGACCCACGGAGCAAGUCGGAUGCGCGGAGGCUGAGGGACGCGCGGAUGAAAGGAGUUGUAACUGCUGGCGGUUCAAUUUGUUGGCUUCUCGGUGGAUCGUGGCUUCAAGGGUCAACAACUUGAUGAAGCUGACCAAGGUUGCGGUAGUGGAAGUCUUCGUGGCAACAAAGUGGAGGAAAGCUGGAGCUGCAACAAACGGUGGAGUCUUCGUGGACGAGGAAGUAGCUGGUUGGCGUGGCUGCAGGUCUUCGUGGCUGUUGGCAAGGCAUGAACGAAGAUGUUGGACUUUGGGAUUCGGUGGCAGCGCGAGAGAGAAGCAAAUCGUAGACGGGGCUUCGGUUUUCUCGAGUGAAAGAGAGGAAGAUGAAGGGGAAACCGCACGAAGAAAAUGAAAAGGUAGAGAAGCAAUUCACGGCAGCUUGGGAAGAGGAUGAGGAAGAGGUGGGCCUUAGCUUGAUAUUUUGCAAGAAUAUCCUCCAUGAAUCACUCUUAGCCAAGUAAAAACACUUGGCCUUCAUUAGACCAUCCAAAUGACCCCCAUAACCUCUCAACUAGUCCAAAAAUGCUAGAGUGAGGGGAUGAUACGAAUUUCACCAUUUGAACUUCAAUUUCUCCAAUAAAUUCCCAAAUUGAGGUCCAAUUUCGACGUAGAAAAAUCCCAAGAAAUUUUCUAUAAAUCUCCGACACACACAGGCUCAACCCAAAAGUCAAAUUUCCCAUUAAUUUAGCCAAUCUGAACUUCGGCCAAAUUUCCGCGACGUCCGAAUCCAAUUUCCGUAAAAUUUCCCGAAUCUCCGAAAAUUUUCUGAGACUGAGUCGAUGCUCCUAAAAUUUAUUGUGACAUGGCCAAAACUUCAAUUUCUGAAAUCGGACUCGAAUUGGCGGUUAAUUUUCAUUCGGCGCGUUUUUAGCGUGACCUAGACUAUCGGGUAGUUUUCAGAACUUUUUAAGGCAAAUGACCCGUGGUCGAUUUUCUUCGAGCCACUAUAAAUCCACUCGACUCAAUGGUGACUCUUGAUUGUCGUGAAAAUCUCGAGGAUUCAAUUACGGACACAGGGUACCAAAACAAUAAGAAAAUCAGUCUAGUGUCGGCCGAUGAGAAUUUUCUAAUUUAGUGGUGUCACCCACGAUUAGCCACACAUCUCAGUCGAACCGACCUAUCUCUGAUCUCUAAUCGAUUUUAUACUGCGCCGCAAUGGCCUCUAAAGAUAGACAUGGUCAAGAAGCCGAUUCCUGAUCGAGUUCUCAAGUCUAUUGCCUUAAAAUUCCUUAAUAAUUUCCCCAGCUAGUCUAGUUAUCUCGAGAGUGAUCGGCUCUGAGAAUAACCCUAUAGACGCGUCAAUGAAAUGCCCGAUUAAUUCAGUAGAAGACAGGGUUGAAAAUUUGGGAUGUCACAAUAUUUGUGAUGGCUAAAUAUACUAGCCUCUAAACCGAAGUAUACCUUUUGGUUCCAUACUAUUAAGAAGGAUAAAUUUUAGGGCUUUGUUACAUGGUUUUAGUGUCACAGCUUUUUUUUUUUUUAUAAUGAAAACUCAAUUACUUUUGUCUUAUUUUCAUUGAUAAUCAUAUGAAAAUAUGAAAUUAAGACUAAUUAUUAAUUGGUGAUUUCUACAUUUAGAAAUUUGCCUGACUUGAUUGACAUUUCCAUUAAGAAUAAUUUUACACCGUAUGCAACAAUUGCAUCUUUAUUUUCAGUCCAAAUCCGUAUACACAAAUUCAGGACUAUUCUUUGGAAAAACAGAGACACUUUUAAAUCUUCUAGCUACUACUUAACUCACUAUUUAAUAGGCAAAAUAUUUUGAAAAGUUAAUCGGAAUUCUUUCAAUUCUAGCAAUCCUAACAAGUUCGCAUGACGUUGAUUGUAAGGGGCUGUUGGUAUAGGGGGGAAGGCUAUUAGUAUCAAUUGUCAAACUCAACUCUAAAAUAUUAAGGGCCUUUACAAAAAGCUCCUUCAAUUAUCGGUAAUAAAACAACCAAUAGCAAUUAUAAACACUUACACACACAUAAAUGUGCGUGCAUCAAAUUGAAAAUCCACGUCAUUUAAAUUUGAGUUAAAAUGGAAAUGUGAAAAAUCAUACUUAUGGACACGAACUAAUUUUGUUGCAAAAAUAAAGUACAUGGGCUACAAGUCUACCUUUUCCAUCUUUUUUGGUGGUCCUAAGCAUGUUCGACUAUAAGAAGAGUAGAGAAAAUAGAGCUAGACCGAAUUGUGGUCGUGCUGAGAAGUACUAUGACUUGUAUUUUUGGUAAUAUUUAUUAUAAAAUUACAAUACCUAAAAAUUGGAUUAAGUGAAUGUAAGUUUAAUAUAAUAUUUUAUUAUUGAUAUUGCUCUAUCAUUUGAGUAAAGUAAACGCAAUAUUAACUGAAGAGGAUUUGUAUAGGUUAUCAUUAUCCUUUUCUAGUGAUGAUGCUCGAAAGCAUAUAAUUUAUUAUGUAUUUUUAAAGAAGGUAGACUUUUAUCUAGUGUUUUCAUUUUCAAACAGAUUGAGAAUUCUAGUUUAUACCACUUCCUAUAAUAUUUUAAUUCAUUUCUCUAAGCACUCCUAUCUUUCUAAUUUGAACCUGGAAGUAGUUUUCAUAUGAAGGAAGAUCACCCAAAGUAAUCUAUUUUGCAAAAAGAGAAGGCCAUCAUCCGCAUUAUGAAAUGGUAGGAAAUACCCUUGUCUUAAAAACACCCUUGGCGUGCAUGUAUGUGUUACACACAUAUUAAAAUAGAUCAUAAAUAUAUUUCUUAAUCCAUAGAUGAUAGACUGAGUUAUUAUAUGCGUUAAUUAUAUUCAAUAAAUAUGUUAUAAAUAGAUUUAAAUAUAAUAUUGGUGUUAAAUGUGUUAUAAAUAUGUUUAUAACUUACUUAAACCAAAUCUAUCUCUAUAACUUUUUCUUCAUUCUCUCUCGUCCUCAUUUGAUAUUGUGUUCACUCACUCCACACUCUUACUCCAAUUUGGGUAUAAUUUUUUUUUUCUAGAUUUGGUUAAAUAUGAAAUAUUUUAACAAUAUGAGUUAGAUUGGAUAUGAGCCAGAUUAGGUACGAGUCCUUAGAUUUGUAUUAUAUGGAAACGAGUCAAAACAUGUUAAAUGGUUCUAUUUUUGGUUCUACUUGGCCUACCCGUUUGACGGAUCUAAUACAAGAGGGAGUAUUUUUGUUUUUUUGGAAUAAGAAUUUAUAAUUCUAGCCUCACAAUUAUUUGAAUUUCGGGGGGCCCACAUGCUAAGCAUGUGUUUACAACUGUCACUCCAUAAAACACUAGGUAGGAUACUAGGGGUAAUUAGUUUUUGGUUCGAGUUAGUUUCACCUAGGAAUUGGGAAUCAGAUUGGGAGAAUCGGUACCUAGUUUUUGGGACUGAGAAUCGGAUCGGGAUAGUUAGUUCCUAGUUUUUGGGACCAUGGACUAGAUCAGAUGGUCUUGGGAUCGAGAAUCGAAUCGAAUCGACCAGUCCGAUCCAAUGAAACCUAUCACUUAGCAAAAAAAAAUUAAUUUUUUUUAAAAGGUACUAGAGUUGUCACUAUUUUUAAGAAAUAAAAAAAAGGAAUAAAUCACCAGUUCCAUUUUUAUGGAACCGGGAACUAGAUCAAUGCCCCUGGAAACCAAACAAAUUGGUUGGUCUGGUCGAUUCGAGCUGUUCUCGAUUCGAUCAAUCCAAUAUGCUCACCCCUAUAAAAUACUAUUUAAUCAAAAGAUACGUAAAUUAGAUCAACAUGCCAUUUCAUCCGGCAAUAUCAAAGUGAUUUUGGUAGUCUAGGGAUGCUCUAUUCUUCGGGCUUAAGCAAGGAAGUCGGCAGAUGAUUUUGUGCUAAAAAAGCAAAAGGUGAUCAGUGUAAAUUCACUUGCCCAUCUGCAAGAGUCAUUUGUAGUGGGCCAAGGCAUAGACAAAUUUAUAAAAAAGCGCCUUAAGGAUAUUUAUUCAACACUAAUCAAAUAAACUUUAUAAGUUUCGCCCAAGAUGGAUUUUAGUGGGUCCUUUAUAAACCACUUUCAACCCAUUUAGUAAGCACACUUUGGUCCUCCUUCGCCAAUCUCAUCUUUCUAUUCGAUUUUGUGACUCGUGACCUUCUCCUUUUGGUUACUCUACUUCUGUAAUCGUCAAGUUUUACUCAAUCUUUAACUCACACAACUACACUUCUGAGGAAACCCAAACUUUUACUACCAUUUGCACACUCCCGUCAUAACUUGACCAUCGAACUCCCUCACUAUAAUUGACAAGUUGGGUUGAUUUAUGGAGCAAUCCAUUUUUCAAAGGCAACAAUUUAAGGAAAAGUCAAUAAAACUAGAUUUUGACUUGGGUCGAGUUUGAGUCAAAUGCGAGAUGGGUAUAGAUCACUAAAUUUCUAUUGAAUAUAAAUGGAUCUAUUUGGAUUAGACAAUGUCCGACCCAACCCACCCUUUAUACUAUUUAAUGAAAAGAUUGUUAAUUAGUCCAAGUGGCUGGGAUCGAUGGGCAAUUUUACCCAGCAAUAUAAAAAGAAUCUAAUUGCUCUCUGUUUUGUGUUUUUUUCUUUUGGUAAAGUCAAAGUAGACUUUCAUUCGGUUUUGAUAACAUUUCAUUUGCACCUACCCUCACCCUGCAUCCAGAAAAGAGCUCGGCGAGUGGGUGGACAGACCAGCUAGGUUAUGCAUUCGUUCGUAACUUCGUAUUCACCCCUAGUGCAAGGAAGUUGGCAGAUGAUGUUCGUCUUAAAAGCAAAUGCAGAUCAGUGUAAAUUCAUUUACCCACCUCCAAGGGUCAUCUGUGGUGGGCCCGCACGUGCUUCCUGCAUCUUCGUCAAACAUUAUUACAUAUUUAUAUAACAAUUAUAAAUAUGCAAACCUUCGGGAAAGGAAUAAAGUAGAAACAAGACCGGUCGGCUCUGAAAAUAUAAUUUACGUUGCACGUCCCGGUGCAUCGAGCGUCGGUAUGUCCAUAGGAUUCUCCUACUUUUUUACUUUUUUAAAGUACCACAUGGCAAGAUUCGGGGAGCCAGUCCUCUUGAUCCGUUCCUUGUAUUCAUUUAACUGCAUUGCCAAGACAUAAAUAUAUCCAUAAAAAAGAAAAUUCUUUUAAUGAGUGUCUCAACAAUACAUAUUCGUCACCAAUUAAAGAAAUUUUAUAGUAUGCUUUUUUUCUAUAUAUUAUACUUAAUCAAUACCUCUAGAGUUUAUUUGUUAACUGGUCAAAAAGUAUCUAAUUUAUUUUUUUUAUUUUCUGGAAAAAAAAAAAAGAAAUUCGUUUGGUAACUUUUUUGUUCCCAGAACAUAAUCAAGAAGUAUACAAAAGUUGCUUAUUUGUUCCUAUGAUCAAUUCCAAAAUCAAACUAAAUUUUCUUCUCUCUCUCUCUCUCUCUCUCUCUCUCUCUCUCUCUCUCUCUUCCUUUUUCUCUUCUUCUUUCUCAUUACUGGUUGAGCGAGCACACCGAAGCCUCGUAAGGCUAGGGCGAGGCCUAGCGAGGGUCGACCUCGCUCAAAUCUGGUAAGGCCGAGCCUUCCCAGUCAUCAUUGCUAGCGGCUGUGAGACUCGGCCUCGCCAAGCCAGGGCAAAGAAGGCCUCGCAUUGGCUGGGUGAGGUCAAGCCUUGCCGGUGGCCAGGCAAACUCACCUAGCCACCGGCGAGGUCGUUGGACCUUGCCUAGCUGGUCGCUGAUGGCUAGCGAUCGGCUAGAGAAGAAGAAGAAAACAGAUGGAAAAAGAAAAAGACAAAAAAAUAAAAGAAAAAGAGAAAACUAUAAUAAUAGUACUAAAAAAUUAAAAGAAAUUCUAAGUCACAAAAGAAUUUGAAAUUUUAUCAAAUGCAUUUCAAUCCUAGAAGUAGAAAUUUUGGAUAAUUACUAAACGUAUUCAAAUGUUCAGAAACUCAUCUAGGGAACCGAAUAAGAAAGAAUCAUUUGUAAGCAAAAAUUAUUUUAGGAAAAAGAAUUGUCACGUCCCAAUUCUUGAGCACGCGCCCAUCCCUAACUGGUCGAUUAAAUAGCGACGUCCCAAGACGUAUUGCCAACCCAUUCAUUUUAAUAUGCAUGCAGAAGCAGAUAUAAAAUCCAUAAACAAUAAAACAAUGGGAUAGAAAAGUAGGGUCAUAAACCUCGAACCUGAAAAACAACCACACUUAAAUACAUAUACAACAAUUGAGUUAUAUAUAUACAUACAACACAAAGUAACAAGUUAGGUUCUACUCAAAGCCAGUUCAACAAAUAGGGUUUGCAAACAGGGGUGGGGUUUUUGAUCUACUCCGGGUCAUCCUCCUCGAUGAUCUCUCCUUCUUCCUCACUCUAGCUGUAGCCCACGACUGAGUACACUGGAGAAUUAGAAUCACCCUCAAGUUUGGGAUCCUUCGCAUCCACCACUGAUCCACCUUUAGGGUUUGUUGUACCCUUUCCAAACGUAACCUCCAUCACAUAUAGAGGUACAUCAAAUUUUAGUAUCGGGCCCUCUCUUCAUCCAUCAUUGUAAUGGCGAUACCAUGCCCAGUAUUCAUGGGGCACAUUUUUGGGUAAGCCCGCAUCAACCUAGAUUGUGGAUUUCACCAUUACAUACUCUAACCCUUUAGGGUGAACUCUGCUAUGUGCACUUCUUCAGUUGAUCAAAAUGCUUGGGAGGAGCUAGAAGUGUUGCCAUCUAUGGACCUGAAAUGUUAUUCCGCAACGGGGUGAGACGACGUCUCAGUGAGUUUCACCUCCUAAGAUCCGAUUAGGAAGCAAAUACGCCUUAAGGGCUGCCUAUACACACACAUGAGUCGGAGGACUUACCUUGGCCUCAGUCCCUUCCUGUCAGACAAUACAAUUCAAAUAAUUAUUCAAUCAGAUCGAACUAUCGAUCAAUCGACUCAGUCGAUUCCAUGUCAUCACGACCUUCCCUGAUCAUCUCAAUCAAUACUAUCUAUAAAGUCCGACCAUAGUUUAGGAUUGCUCACCCAAAGCUUAAAAUAGAUACUAUAGUUCACCCAAAGCUGAUAAUAUAGUAUAUUGCUCACCCAAAGCUGACAUAUCGCUCGUAGGCUGAUAUAGUAUACUAAUAAUGCUCAUCCAAAGCUAAUAACAAGAUAUACCACUCACUCAAAGUUGACAUAUGACCCGUAAGUCAAUAUAGUAUACCAUCCCAACCAUCCAACAUUUCUAUCAUUUUUAUUAUACCCGAUAAAAUAUCGUGUGUGGGUACACGGUCAGCCUUAGCCAAAAUAUAAUAAUUUUCUUUUCAUAAAUUCCAUAAUUUUCUAUAGUCCAAUAAAAUAUUUUUGGUGUUGUAAACUAAGGCUCAGUUAUUUUCCAAUCAAUUACGGAAAUUAAAUCAAUUUAAGAAUAAAACCCUAAAAUGCAAUUCAUGCACAAUAAGCACAAAUUAAAGCUCAAUUAAAUAAACAGAUUACAUCACAGUAAUCAGCAUAAAAUUCCAGUCACCGGCUAUCUCGGUCUAAUUUCCGAAAAAUAAAUAAAUAAUUAAAUAAUUACGGAAAUUAAUUAUUAAAUACCGAAAAUGCGACUUAGGCUCAAAAAAGCCUAAUUGAAUGCCGAGAUGGACCCGGAAAAUUUCCAAAUUACUCUAGAUAAAUAUUAGAGCUUGUCUAGGCCCUACUUGCACUAACUAUCCACCUAAUAUGCAUUGGUAAAUAAUUAAAUUCACUAAUCUAAUCUAACUAUCCACCUAAAUCAUGGUUAACCUAAACUAAUCAACUCUUAAGCAUCAUUAACCUACUAAGCGAGGAUUAGUGAGUUAACCUAAACUAAUCCUCUCUAAAGUGAGCUUGGCUUUCAGGGCCGGGAACACCUCCAAAACGGGCCAAAUAGUGUUGGAAACUCUUUACUGGCUUGCUCUCUGUUCUUGGCUGAUCUUGGGAUCAAGAAAGGCUGUUCAACAAUCGGGAGGGGCGGAAACAGUAAGGUUGAACUGGUAACGGCUGUAGCAAGCCUAGUGGACGAAAUUGGUGACGUAUGGCAGUCCGCAGUGGUCCGACGGCUAGGGGGAAGACUUUGGGACGUUGCUGGGGGCAUGGGGACGUCCAACGAGCGGAGGAUGGCACUGCGGCAGGGUGAGGCGAGACGGUGUGCGCGCAGGGCAGAGAUGGCGUGUGGUGGUCCAAUGGGCAGCUAUGGCGACGAGGGCUUCAUAGCUAGUCUUCUCUGCGGCUGAGGGGUUCAAGCAGCACAAAUGGAAGGGAAAUCAGGUUGGUUGACCGGCCUUGAGAGGGAGGAAGAGAUGGAGGAGAGAAGGAGGGAACAAAGGGUCCACCUCUCUUAUUCUCAACUUCUUGGUCCCCUUGACCAUCCACUGCCACCAGCUGGUCCCAUGGCCCAAAAUCAACCACCAAGACUCUUUUCUAGAAGCUCGGGAUUGUCCAAAUGUCGUGGGUGGUGGGGACACACGAAUUUGGCUCGGAUUUCUCUCCAAUUGGACGCCAUUCCUUCUUAAUUCAACACAAACUGGCCUUUAUAAAUUCAAUUGACACAUCACCAAUUCAAUUGGUAUUUUUCCUCACCAAUUGAUCCCAUGUGCUUCUCGAUUGUGCGAUAAAAAACGGUCCCCAACAUUUUCUAGACAAAAACAGCCCUACCUCUACUUUUUCUCAAAAAGUCUCGGUUUGCAGAAAAAUCUUCUAAAACUGAGUUGACAUUCCUAAAAUGAUUUAUAACAUAAUAGAAUUAGAAAUCGCAUUCAAAUUCGCGAUUAAUUUCAAUUCGGCAUGAUUUUAGCGUGACCUAGGCUACUAGGUAGCUUUUAGAAAUUUUUAGUAUAAAUGACCCGUGGUCGACUUUUUUCAAACCACAAUAAACUCACUCAACACAGUGGUGACUCUUGGUUGUUAUGAAAAUCUCAAUGAUUCAAAUAUGGACACAGGGUACCAAAAGGAUAGAAAAAUCAGUCUAGUGUCGGCCGACAAGAAUUUUCCAAAUUAGUGGAGUCACUCAUGUUUAGCCACACAUCUCAGUUGAACCAACCUAUCUUUAAUCUCUAAUCGAUUUUUAAUUGUGCCGUAAUGACCUUUAAAGAUGAGCACGGUCGAGUAGCCGAUUCAUGAUCGAAUUCUCAAGUCUAUUGCAUUAAAAUUCCUUAAUUGUUUCCCCAGAUGGUCUAGUUAUCUCGAGAGUGAUCAGUUUUGAGAACAGCCCUAUAAGCGCGUCGGUGAAACGCUCGAUUAAUUUAAUUGAAAGCAUAAUCGAAAAAUCAAUGAUGUCACAACUCUUCCGCUCUUAUAAAAAUUUCGUCCUCGAAAUUUAAACCAUUACAAUACUUAAUAAAAAAUGUGGGGGUCCAACUGUCUUAUCGACUCUUCAGUCUCCCAUGUUGUUCCUUCAGUAGCGUGGUGUUACUAGACUACUUUGACCAAUGGGAUGAUUUUUGUACGUAGAACUUGCUCUCUUCUAUCCACGAUCUGAAUUGGGCUUUCAACAUAUGACACUCAGUCAUUCACGUCCAAUUCUUCAAAAUUAAGCACGUGGGCCGAGUUAGGCUCAUACUUCCUCAACAUCGACACGUGAAAGACGUCGUGCACUUGCGCCAAUCUAGGUGGCAACGCAAGACGACACACUAGGGUCUUAAUUCUCUCUAGAACUUCAAAUGGACCUACGUACCUCGGACUCAAUUUACCUUUCUUACCAAAGCAUGAAGUUCCCCUCAUUGGCGACACUUUCAGAAAAACGUGAUUACCAACUUGGAAUUCCAAUGGUCUCCGACGCUUAUUUGCGUAACUUUUUUGUCUGCUCUGAGCGGUCUUUAAUCUACCUUUGAUUACUACAACGUCAUUCACUGACUGCUAGACCAACUCUGGGCCUGCAAUCUUUCUUUCCCCAACUUUAUCCCAACACACUGGUGUUCUGCACACUGUACCAUACAACGCUUCAAAAGGAGCCAUCUGGAUGCUCUACUGAUAACUAUUGUUGUAGGCAAAUUCCACAAGGUGAAGCUAUUCUUCCCAACUUCCUUUAAAAUCUAGCACACAAGCUCGCAGCAUGUCCUCAAUGGUUUGAAUUGUUCUCUUAGACUGGCCAUCCAUCUGAGGAUGAUAUGUUGUACUAAACUACAGUUUGGUACUUAAAGCACUCUGCAAACUCUUCCAAAAAGUGGCAGUAAAUCUCAGGUCUCUAUUUGAAGUUAUCGUCACCGGCACUCCAUGCAGACGAACUACUUGAUGCACGUAUAGAUCUAUGUGUCCAUCCAAACUGAGGUCUUUUCAUACUACAAUGAAGUGAGCCGACUUUAUCAAUUUGUCGACCACUACCCAAAUCAAAUCAUUACCUCUUUGACUCCUCGAUAGUCCGGUCACGAAAUUGUGGCAUCCCAAAAUUUCAUGGCAAUUUCUAGAGGCAUUAUGACUUAUGGAAAAGUGAAUGAUUGUAUCGUUGAAGUAUGUUGUGGCCACUAGACCAAAGAAUUGUAAUAAAUUAAGGCCAAGCAGUCUAUUGGACAAUUAUUUGAUGGGGAAAAUUUAAUUCUUGGCCGUGCGUUUUAUAAGUUGGAUUUUAUUAAUUUGUGUUACAAAAUUUUAUGGCCAACUAAAAUGCAGUUAAGUAUUUUUAUAAGUGGGGAAUUUAGGUUAGAUCUUUUAAAGGAGAGUGGGCCGAAAUUCUUAGGCCAAGCCGACCCAAAAACCCAGUCCACAACCCCACCAUUCGACUGGCCCAUGAAGCCCAAGAGGGGGCUGCCGUCGACCAAGGGGGAAGGGGGGGGAACCGGUUUGCAUGUCUCUCCAUUUGUCCCAUGAAGAAAGCCAAAUGUCAAAGCAUGCAAAGCUAAUGAUGAUUAAUCAUUGAGGGGAAGAAAUUAGUGAGGGGAAGGGGGCGGAUUACUCGAGAGAUUGAACUGAGAGAGAGAGUGACCGUCCGAGAGAGAGAGAGAGAGAGAGAGAGAGAGAGAGAGAGAGAGAGAGAGUGAAACAAGAGAGGGAGAGCUAGCGAGCGAGAGAAGAAGGGGAAGAGGGAGGCCGUUCGCUGCCGUUCGUCGCCGCCGUCAAGCCGCCGGGUCCCGCCUUGCCCCGCCAUCUUUGCUUGCUGUGUUGUGCUCGGAUUAGAGGCAAGUAGAGUCCAUAAAAUUACCCUUUGCUUGUUGUGAUAUGUGUUGUGAGGGAUGAUAAACUUUGGUUGUAGUAGAAGUGAAGAAAUUCGAAGCUCUGGGGAAGAAUAUGGUAGCCUUGCAUUCUGUUUUCUAGAAAGGUAGUCCGACCUUUGAUGAAUUCGUGAGCUGCAUGCAACUUUUUAGUUGGAAUCUCACUUCGACUUCUUGAUGAAAGUUGUAGAGAACUUCUUGGAGAGUAACAUAUCAAAAUUUCAGAAGAAAUGAACAAGUAUAGACCGGUGAAAAUAGUUUUUUUUAAGAAGUUAGAUCUGGAAAUCGUAAUGCUGACCUAGUGUGAUUCUGUGAAUUUUAUAAAAUUUUCCGGUUGAAAUUUGAUCUCGUUUUCUGAAUGAAAGUUGAAGAUGACAUGUUAAAAAGUAACAUACUAAAAUUUUAGAGGAAAUGGAUGAGUUUAUGUUAGUGAAACAAUCUUUAUCCAAAGCGGUUAGAACUGGAAUUCGGUGCCGAGGGUUAUGGACGGUUAUGGUUAUUAUAUUUUUUAAUCUAUCAAAAAUAUGGUUUCGAGUUCUUCAUGAAAUAUUUACUUCUGGAUUUUUUCUAUAUCAUAUAAAAAAUUUCAGAAUUUUUGGAGUUGAUUUAGGAUUUUUACUGAAUUUGUGAAUGAAACUGUGUAUGGCAAUAUUCCGAAAUUAUAAAGACUAUGAUGUGUGAACUAUACCAAAUUGUAUGAUGUUCUUUUGAUAUGGUGUUCUACAUGGAAUAUUUUCCUCUAUAUCUUGUAUAUAACAUGUCGAAUGUUUAGAAUUUAUUAAGGCUGUUUACUAAUUUUUCAAGUGUUAUAACCAAAGGAGUGCAAUCUGUUUUUAUCCGAAAUUUGUUGCAUUUUCAAAAAUAAAUGAAAUUGCUCCAUGUGAUAUAAUGUCUUGAGUGAUUGAUUAUGCUGCAUAUGUGGUGACAUGGCAUGUUAUAUGACAUCAAAAGCUGGUUGAGACAUUUGAUAUUGUUGCAUGAAAUGCCAUGUUGAAAUUGAGAUACAUGUGUGAAUAUAAAUUGAGAUAAUAACGAGACCAUUGGAGGUGUGAGCCGACGAUGCCUUGGGAGUGUUGGGAUGCCCAGAGUAUGGGUGCCAGAUGCCCGGAGUGUUGGGAUGCUCGGAGGUGUGUGUCGGAAGCCCUGGAGGUGUGUGCCGGGGGGAUUCCUCGUGAUGCCAAUUGGGGUACGAGAUGCUCGGAGUGUAUGUGCUGGACGCCCGGAGGUGUGUGCCGGAGGCUCCUCGCGAUGCCAGGUUGGAUGCGAGCGAUAAAUUGUGGGAUGCAAACAUUGGUCCCUGGGAAAAAAUGAUGUGAUCUAAUUGAAAGAUAAAUAUCGAGAAUGGAAUCAUGCGCAUGGAUGUGUACAUAUGGCAAGGGACGAACCUCAUGAAAAUGCAAGCAUGGAGUGCAUGGUGGUAUAUGCACGUUGCAUGGUGAUAUAUGCAUGGCUGCUUGAUGAUAUAAGUACAAGUGCAUGGUGAUUUAUGCAUGUUGUAUGGUGAUAUAUGCAUGGCUGUAAGGUGAGGUAUGUUUGAAUGCAUGGAUCAUAUGUGUUUUAUUCAUGAUACCUCGAUUGUUCUGUUUGAUGCAUUGUGUAGUUUGGUGGAUCUUUACUGCUAAAUGGUUGUACUUACCUCUUUGGGGAUUAACAUUUCAGAUUAGAAAGAUGCCUCUUUCACUAGUUGUGCGUGGUACCUUCUAUGGCAUACCUACUAACGUUGAGGUGGAGUGCAUAGAGCAUUCUUGUAUUAGUGUACCUGGUCUGGUGUAUGUCUGAGUCCGUGUCUUGGUGAUGUACGACAUGGGUUCUGCUGAUGGCCCUGUUAUCCAAGAGUUUUUGUCUGUUCACGUUCGACGCAAUGGGGUGAUGCUAGGGAUGUCGCCACUGCCGCCGCCCGAUGCAUCGUGUUGGGUGUGAUGGCACAUAUGAUUGAUGGGAGCUAACACUUUUUGGGGAUAGCCGACGCUUGUUGAUGGAAGGAAUUACAUGUUUGAUGUAGGGUCAAGUUCUCUUUUGAGUUAUAGCCAAGUAUAGUUAAAAAUGUAGGCCUUUUGUUGUACUGACCGGAAAUGUUCAUUGUGAAAAUAUAAAUAAAAGUGACUCGGCUUUGUCUUUUCAUUUGGAGCGUAGUUGGUGUGCAUUGCAUUAUUGUUAUUGGAGUAAGGGAUGGUGAGACUCGUUUAUGCUUCCACUAAUGAGCUGCGCCGGGACCUUUACAAAAUAAAAAGUGGGAGAAGAAUUUUAUUGAUAAACCCCUAUGAACUAUGAUUCCACUUUAAUUAAAAAGUUACAAGGAUUGGUAUGUAGUAGGAUAAGUGAUAAGUACCGGUGGAGACCCUAACAGAUCGGGGGCCGUCGAGGGGUGCCACAGAAAUCCAUCGUGAUAUGUUCCCAUUUCCACUCUGGGAUCUCGAGAGGUUAUAGAAGUCCUCCUGGUUUGCAAUGCUGAGCUUUGACCUGCUGACACGUCAAAUACUUGGCGACAUGCUUGGCGAUAUUCGCCUUCAUACCUGACCAUCAAUAGUGUUGACGUAGAUUCUAAUAUAUCUUGGUGCUACCAGGAUGAAUGGUGUAAUUGCUACGACGUGCUUCUAAUAAAAUAUCCCCUCUAAGCUCCACAUCGUCAGGUACAACCAAACGUCCUCGAAACCUCAUUAUUCCUUCAUCAGAAAUCUGAAAGUAAGCCUUUCUUUUCUUAGUGUCCUCUUGAUGAAUUUUCUGAACAUUUGGGUCUGUCGGUUGGAGUAACUUAAUUCUGAUCUGGACAUUCGGUUCAAUUUUGAGGGUGGCCAUAAGACUCGAAAGGUGGCCUACCUCAAACUUGAAUACUGAAUCUCGAGCUCUCUCGAUUAGAUUCCACUCCUUAAUUAGUACAUGAGCAACUGAAGACUUUCGACUUAAAGUAUCGGCGAUCUUAUUCACCUUCCCCGAGUGAUAUAGGAUAUCACAGUCGUAGUCCUUCAGUAAUUCCAUCUCUUAGCAUUGUCUCAUGUUCAACUCCUUUUGAGAGAACAUGUACUUGAGGCUUUGAUGGUCCGUGAAAAUCUGGAAUCUUUCUCCGCACAAAUAGUGUCUCCAAAUCUUCAAGGCGAAAAUAAUUGCCGUGAGUUCUAAGUCAUGCGUCGGAUAGUUUUGUUUAUGAAGUCUCAACUGAUGGGAAGCGUAUGCAACAACUCGGCCAUGUUGCAUCAGCACGUAACCCAAUCCUUUGAAUGACACAUCACUAUAGAUCUUGAAUCCUCCAGGACCAGAUGGAAGAGUCAGCAUAGGUGCGGUAAUUAGCUUUUGCUUCAGCUCUUGGAAACUACGCUCGCACUUGUCUGUCCACACAAAUUUCUCUUCUUUCUUCAGGAGUCUUGUCAAUGGCGACGUUAGUGAUGAAAACACUUCCACAAAUCGUCUGUAAUGACCUGCCAAACCCAAAAGCUUCUGAUUUCUGUCAAUAUAGUCGAUCUUGGCCAAUUGAUCACUGCUUCGAUCUUGCUCGGGUCCACCAAGAUUCCUUCGCUUGAAAUCACAUGCCCUAAGAAAGCAACGCGAGUCAGCCAAAACUCGCACUUGCUGAACUUGGUGUACAACUGAUGGACUCUUAGCGUUUGCAAUACUAAUCUCAAAUGACUCUCAUGCUCCUCAUCACUUCUCGAAUACACUAGAAUAUCAUCGAUGAACACGAUGACAAACCGACCUAGAUAUUCCUUGAAUACUUGGUUCAUCAUAUCCAUGAAGGUAGCUGGAGCAUUCGUCAACUUGAAUGGCAUCACUGUGAACUCAUAAUGACCAUACUAAGUACGAAAUGCUAAUUUUGGAAUGUCCUCCUUCCUGAUCCUCAGCUGAUGAUAUCUUGUCCUCAAGUCGAUCUUUUAAAAUAUCAACGCUCCUUGCAACUGAUCAAACAAGUCAUUGAUCCUCGGGAGUGGAUACUUGUUCUUGAUCGUUACUUGAUUGAGUUGCCGAUAGUCGAUGCACAGGCGUAACGAACCAUCUUUCUUCUUUACAAACAGAAUUGGCGCUCCUUAAGGUGAUGCACUGGGAUGAAUGAAUCCCUUAUCCAAUAACUUCUACAUUUGCACCUUCAGUUCCUUCAACUCAGAUAACGCCAUUCGGUAAUGAGCCUUAAAGAUUGGCUCUAUCCCAAGUGCUAACUCAAUCACGAACUCGAUUUCUCUCUCUAGCGGUAAUAUUGGCAAUUCCUUUGGAAAGACAUCAAGAAAUGCUUGCACCACAGCAAUGUCUUCCAUCUUUAGCUCCUCAACUGUCGUAUCCACGACAAUUGCUAGGUACCUUUGACAACCCUCAUCUAACAAGCGAGUUGCCUCUGGCGAUGAGAUCAAGAUAAUCGAGGGUCCUCCUCGACUCCCGACAAACUCGAAGUUCUUACCCUCUAACGGGUCAAACUGAAUUGCCUUGCGAUAGCAGUCCAUCUUAGCUCGUUGCUUGGUGAGCCAGUCCAUACCAAUGAUCAAAUCACAAUUAUACAUGGCUAGGACUAACAAGUCUAUUUUCGCCACUCGCUCACCAAUUGCUAACUUGUAACCAAAACAACUCAAAGCAGCUAUCACUUUAUCCUUCAAUAAUGUAGAUAUACUAACUGUCGACUCUAAUAACAUAGGACUUACUCCUAUCAACUUAACAUAUUGCUUGGAAAUAAAGGAAUGGGUUGCUCCUGGGUCGAAUAAAGCGUAAGCAAGAUGGUCGUUCAGCGAAACCAUAACUGUGAUCACGUUAGGUGUAGCCUCUGCCUGACCUUGUGUGAUGGCAUACAUCAUGCCUUGAACUGGGGGUCUAAGUUAUCCUCAUUGCGGCGCAUUCUAAGGUGCGUACCCUCUAAUCUAACCCAUCUAUGGCGGUGGUGGCAACUGCGGUUGUCCUCUUAGUAGGUUAAGACAAUCUCUAAUCAUAUGACCCCGUUGGCCACAUCCAUAACAAACACCCGGUCUUUGAGAACACAAUGCUGAACCAUGUCACCUUCCACACAGACGACAUAUACCAUUUUGGCUCGGCCCUGACUUUCCAACUCCACUCUUCCUGUUGGGUGGAACCUGGAAUCUACCUCCAGUCAUGGGCCUCUUCCCAUGACGGAUCCCUUCUCGGUGUGAAGUAAACCUCAAUCCAGACGAGGUGACUUGCUCAUUCAAACUCCUUUCAAGCAGUUGUGCUCGACGAUAGAUUUCUCAAUAAUCAAUCAGAUCGAACGACACUAGCAGUUGUUUCAAUUCUUGUCAAAUGCCAUUCUUGAAUCUUCGAGCCUUCUCUUCAGGAUCUUUAAUCAGCCUCGGAGCAUGCUGAGAAAGCUUCGCAAAUUUGACCCCAUACUGGUCAAUAGUCAUUGUCCCCUAACGGAGAUGCUGAAACUCUUCUAUUUUCUGCUCCCUGGCGUUCCUUGAGAAGUACUGCUCAUUGAAUGCCCUGAGGAAGGCAUCCCAUAGCAGGACCACUCCUCCUAGAAAUAUGGUCUCUCUAGCGGCUCUCCACCAGGUAUUGGCAUUACCCUGCAACUGAUAGAUUGCCAGGGUUACCUUCUCUUCUUCAGUGCACAUUAAAAGUGCAAAAGCCUUCUCCAAAUCUUGGAUCCACAUAGACGUGGCCUCGAGAUCUCUAGUACCGGUGAACCUUGGUGGGUUCAGCUUCAAAAACCGCUCCACCAACUUAUGUAUUGGCCUCUCUUUUUGCACCUUCUCAGGCUGGACCUCAAUAGGUGUGGCAACAGGUGCGGCGGCGGGUGCGGCCUUAGCAGCGACAGCAACGGCAGCAGUAGCAGCGGUGGUAGCAACAUCGGCUUGAUUCUGGGCCCGCUGCCUUAGCACUUCUCUCAUGGCCUCAAGCGCCUGCAUGAUCCCUUCGAUUCAAGGAUCACCAGGGGUUGCUACCCUGGCACCAAUGGGAGGUGGUGCCACUCCACUCGCGCUAGCCUGAGCUGGUGGUCGACCUCAGCCUCCUCGGGUACCGACCCUAGUCAGCAUCCUACCCUAAGUCACAACCCUGACGGUCCUCUUGCUAGGAGUCCUUUGCUCCUGAUCACUCAUGACUCAGCUUUAUCUACUGAAACCUACUUCCAAUUCCACACCAAAUUAGAAAUAGAGUGAUUUAAACAACAAGCAAUUCUACUAAUCAACUAUCACAGACAUGCACCAGCAUGAAUUUAAAGGUCAUUCCUAUUACUAUCCAAUAAAAUAUUGGGAUAGAAAAGUAGGGCCAUAAACCUCGAACCUGAAAAACAACCACACUUAUAUACAUAUACAACAACUGAGCUAUACAUAUACAUACAACACAAACUAACAAGUCAGGUUCUACUCAAAGCCAGUUCAACAAACAGGGUUUGCAAAUAGGGGUGGGGUUUUCGAUCUACUUUGGGUCAUCCUCCUCGACAAUCUCUCCUUCUUUUUCACUCCAGCUGGAGCCCACAACUAAGUACACCGAAGAAUCAAGAUCACCCCCAAGCUUGGGAUCCUUCUUAUCCAUCACCAAUCCACUCUUAGGGUCUAUUGUACCCAUUCUGAACGCAACCUCCAUCACAUACAGAGGUGCAUCAGAUUCUGGUACCGGGCCCUCUCUUCGUCCAUCACUAUAAUGGCAAUACCACGCUCGGUAUUCAUGGGGCACCUUUUUGGGUAAGCCCGCAUCAACCUAGAUUAUGGAUUUCACCAUUACAUACUCUAACCCUUCAGGGUGCCUGGUGAUCGGAAUGUGAUAACCAUGCUCUGUGAACUUCUUCAGUUGACCAAAAUGCUUGGGAGGAGCUGGAGGUGCUGCCAUCUAUGGACUUGAAAUGUUAUCCCACAACGGGGUGAGACGAUGUUUUAGCGAGUUCCACCCCUUAAGACCCAACUAGGAAGCAAAUACGUCAUAAGGGUUGCCUAUGCACACACAUGAGUCAGAGGACUUACCUUGGCCUUAGUUCAUUCUUGUCAAACAAUACAAUUCAAAUAAUUAUUUCAUCAGAUCGAACUAUCGAUCAAUCGACUCAGUCGAUUCCAUGUCAUCACGACCUUCCCCGGUCAUCUUGAUCAAUACUAUCUAUAAAGUCCGACUAUAGUCUAGGACUGCUCACCCAAAGCUAAAAAUAGAAAGUAUAGCUCACCCAAAGCUGAUAAUAUAGUAUACUUUUCACCUAAAGUUAACAUAUCGCCCGUAGGCUAAUAUAGUAUACUAAUAAUGCUCACCCAAAGCUAAUAACAAGAUAUACUACUCACCCAAAGCUGACAUAUUGCCUGUAGGCCAAUAUAGUAUGCCAGUAUACUGCUCACCCAAAGUUGACAUAUUGCCCGUAGGCCGAUAUAGUAUACCAUCCCAACCAUCCAACAUUUCCAUCAUUUUUAUCAUACCCGAUAAAAUAUCGUGUGUGGAUACACGGUCGGCCUUAGCCAAAAUAUAAUAAUUUUCAAUUCAUAAAUCCCACCAUUUCUAAUAGUCCACCAAAAUAUUUUUGGCGUUGUAAACCGACACUCGGUUAUUUUCCAAUCAAUUACGGAAAUUAAAUCAAUUUAAGAAUAAAACCCUAAAAUGCAAUUCAUGCACAAUCAGCACAAAUUAAAACUCAAUUAAAUAAACAUAUUACAUCACAGUAAUCAGCAUAAAAUUCCGAUCACCGACUAUCCUAGUCUAAUUUUCGAAAAAUAUAUAAAUAAUUAAAUAAUUACAUAAAUUAAUUAUUAAAUACCGAAAAUGCGACUUAGGCUCGAAAAAGCCUAAUUGAACGCCGAGACGGACCCGAAAAAUUUCUGAAUCACUCUAGAUAAAUACUAGAGUUUGUCUAGGCCCUAAUUGCUCUAACUAUCCACUUAAUAUGCAUCUGUAAAUAAUUAAAUUCACUAAUCUAAUCUAACUAUCCACCUAAAUAAUGCUUAACCUAAACUAAUCAACCCUUAAGCGCAUUAACCUACUAAGCGAGGAUUAAUUAGUUUUAAACUCACUUGCUCGGCGAUCCGAUGGGAUCAAAUUGAAGAGGGCGCGACGGGGGACAAUCCUCUCCAAAGCGAGCUUGGCUUCCAAGGCCGGGAACACCUCCAAAACAGGCCAAAUAGUGUUGGAAACCCUAUGUUGGCUUGCUCUUUGUUCUUGGUUGAUCUUGGGAUCGAGAAAGGCUGCUCAACAAUCGGGAGGGGCGGAAACAACAAGGUUGAACCGGCAACUGCUGCAGCGAGCCUAGCAGAUGAAAGCGGCGACGUAUGGCGGUCCACGAUGGUCUAACCGCCAAAGGGAAGACUUUGGGAUGUUGCUAGGGUAGGGGGACAUUUAAGGAACGACAGAGGACGGCGGUGCGGCAGGGUGAGGCAAGACGGCGCACGAGCGGGGCGAGGACGGCGUGCGGUGGUCCAAUGGGCAGCUACGGCGACGAGGGCUUCACGGCUGGUCUUAUCUACGGCUGAGGGGUUCGAGCAGCACAAAUGGUAGGGGAAUCAGGCUAGUCAACCGGCCUUAAGGGGGAAGAAGAGAUAGAGGAGAGGAGGGAAUAAGGGGUCCACCUCUUUCUUAUCCUCAACUUCUUGGUCCCCUUGACCAUCCACCACCACCAGCUGGUCCCAUGUCCAAAAUCAGCCACCAAGGCUCUCUUCUAGAUGCUCGAGAUGGUCCAAAUGUCGCGGGUGGUGGGGGCACGAAUUUGGCUCGGAUUUCUCUCUAAUUGGACACCAUUCCUCUUAAUUUAACACAAACCGACCUCUAUAAAUUCAAUUGACACAUCACCGAUCCAAUUGGUAUUUUUCCUCACCAAUUGAUCCCACUUGCUUCGUAAUUGCACGAUCAAAAACGGUCCCUGACAUUUUCUAGACAAAAAUUGCCCUACCUUGACUUUUUCCCAAAAAGUCUCGGUUUACAGAAAAAUCUUUUGAGACUGAGUCAACGUUCCUAAAAUGAUUUGUGACAUCACAGAAUUUUUAAUUUCUGAAAUCAGAUUCAAAUUCGCGGUUAAUUUCAAUUCGACACGAUUUUAGCAUGACCUAAGCUACCGAGUAGCUUUUAGAAAUUUUUAGUGCAAAUGACUCGUGGUCGAUUUUCUUCGAGCCACAAUGAAUCCACUUGACACAUUAGCGACUCUUGGUUGUCGUGAAAAUCUCGAGAAUUCAAAUAUGGACACAUGGUACCAAAACAAUAGAAAAAUCAGUUUAGUGUUGGUCGACGAGAAUUUUCCAAAUUAGUAAAGUCACCCACGUUUAGCCACAUAUCUCAGUCGAACCGACUUAUCUCUGAUCUCUAAUUGAUUUUGAACUAUGUCGUAAUGACCUUUAAAGAUGAGCACGGUCGAGUAGCCGAUUCCUGGUCGAAUUCUCAAGUCUAUUGAAUUAAAAUUCCUUAAUUGCUUCCCCAAAUGGUCUAGUUAUCUCAAGAAUGAUCAGCUCUGAGAAUAGCCCUAUAGGUGCGUCGAUGAAAUGCCCAAUUAAUUUAAUUGAAAGCAGAAUCGAAAUAUUCAGGAUGUCACAAGAAUAGUUACAAAAUAAAUGCUUAGUAGCUUGACCAAAUCAUAAAAAGAGAAGAAGUUUUUUUCUUUUAAUUGAAAAUUUUCAAUUAGGAUAAGAACUAAAUUGGUUGUGUAUAAAUUCAGGUCGAACUUAAAUUCUAUAAAAAUUGAUGACAUAAUAUCAAUUUUUUAGUAAAUAGAUUAUUAUCACUCAUCUAUGAGCUCAUGUGACCGUGUUUUAUGGUUAGAAGGUUGUCCUUGUCAGUUCUUUGAUAUAAAUAAGUUAAUAUAAAACCAUAAUUUGUCCCUGUAGCUUUAAACUUUUGAUGGCUAAAUAUACAAUCCUUUAAAACGAAUUAUACUCGUUGGUCUCAUACUUUUAAGAAAUAACAUAUUUUAGGGCUUUGUUACGUGGUUUUAGUAUCGCAGCUAGUUUCUAAACUAUUUUUUUUUUAAUGAAAACUCAAUUACUUUUGUCAUAUUUUCAUUCAAAAUCAUAUGAAAAUAUCAAAUCAAGAAUAACUAUCAAUUGGUGAUUUCUACAUUUAGAAAUUUGCCCAAUUACAUUGACAUUUCCAUUAACAGAUAUACUUUUAAACCUUCUAACUACAACUUUAACUCACUAUUCAUAGGCAAAAUAUUCUGGAAAUUUACCGCAAUUCUCUUGAGUCUAGCAAUCCUAAAAAGUUCGCAUCACAUUGAUUGGAAUGGGUUGUUGGAAUCGCAGGAAGGCUAUUAGGCAUCGAGGCUGUCAAAUUUCAACUCUUAAACAUUAAGUGCCUUUAGAAAAAGCUCCUUCAAUUAUUGGUAAUAAAACAACCGAUAACGAUUAUAAACACUUACACACAUAUAAAUGUGAUGUAUCAAAUUGAUAAUUCGCAUCAUUUAAAUUUUAGUUGAAAUGGAAAUGUGAAAAAUUGUACUUAAGAUCCCAUCGUGAAUGGUACACAUACUAAUAUUGCAGCAAAAACAAAGUAGAAGAACAAAGAGCCCAUUUACUGUACAUUUUAGUGUCAAAAGUUUCAAAAAGUAUAAGUAUUAAAAUAAUAGGAAAAUUGAAUAUUUAAAUGCCAAUGGUGAGAAAUUCCGGCCAAAUUGCUAACGUGGCAUUCUUCCGGCGAGAGGAGUGCAAAAUGACAUUGUGCAAUGAAGUGCUCCGACUUGUAUGUUUGGUAAUAUCUAUUAUAAAAUUACGACAAACCUAACAAUUGGGUGGGAUAACUUUUAAAUAGCUGUUAUAACGGUAGAGAUGUUGCGGCUAUAAGGUGAUUGUCAACCACCGUGUAAAGAUUGCGACACCUAUUUUCACAGUUAAAGCUGCAAUGAUGAAAAUGUACAAAAAAUAUAAUGAAUUAGAAUACUCUGAAAAGUACAAGGACUAAAAUGGUGAUUUGCAUUUAGAGGCUUAUAUAUGGAGGAGCCACAUGACAUACUAAUAUUGAUUAAACAAUUUUCAACAAAUUUUAAAUAGAAAUUUGAUAAAAAGAAUUAAAUUAUCAUGCCAGAAUAGUGUGAUUAGAAUCAUAAUCAAAGAAAGAAAAAGGGUCAAAAGUAUUCUUCCAAAUAUAUAGGUUCCAGGAAUGUAAUUAUUCUUGGAAUUAAUUAUGGAUCUAGUGUCAUUUGUUGCUGUUGAUAUCUCCAAGAAUAAUUUGUCUCGAAGAUCGGGUGCUAUUUCGACCCACAGCUGGGUGCUAUUUCGAAUCCUUCUUAAAUCAAUGCCUAGAGCUCAUUUGAGCGUGGUGGGGGAGAUGGAGCCCGCGCCCGCGUGGGGCUUUACCCGUUUCUAUCCCCACGGCAAAAACGGCAAGACCUCUCUCAUGAAUGAGAAAGUAGGGAAAAGUGUUAAAAAAUUCCUAAACAUUUUGCAUUUGUGCCAAUUUAGUCCUAAACCUUUUUACGUUGUGCUAAUUCAAUCAUUUCCGGUUAAUUUUGGCCGAAUUUUGCUAACUGGACGCAGGCCUACUGAUAUGGCCAGAUUGGUGCUGACGUGGACAAUUUUUAAUAAUAUAUUAAUAUUUUUGAAUUUUUGAAUUUUAUUUUUUUAUUUAUUUUUACUUCUCCUCCUUCUUCCUCCAGCCAGUCACCAGACCUUGGUGACUGACCAAAGGCGACAGCCAGCGAGGUCAAGGUUGAGUCUCGACGCCCAACGCGAGGUUGCCCUCGCGGCCAUUGGCAAGGUCGACCUCCACCUCGCCGGCCGUCGCCUCUGGUCGGCCGCCGAGGUCCAGCGACCGGCUGGAGGAAGAAGGAGGAGAAGAAAAAAAGAAAAGAAAAAAAUUCAAAAAAAUGAAAUAUAUUAUUAAAAAUUGUCCACGUUAGCGCCGAUCAGGCUACGUUAGCUGGCUGGCGUCCAGUCAGCAAAAUCUGGCCAAAAUUGGGCAGAACAGACUAAGUUGGCACAACAUAAAAAGGUUUAGGACUUAAUUGGCACCAAAAAAUAGUUUAGGACUAAAUUGGUAUAAAUGCAAAAGGUUUAUGACUUUUUUUAACACUUUUCCCUGAGAAAGUAUGUAUAUGUAUAUACCACCUUCUUCACUAAGGCUUCUAGUUCCCCCUACCCCAAAAAAAAUCCCAACAAAACAAAAACAAGAACCAAAACAAAAAUAGUAAAAAAGAAAAAAGUUCAUCUGCUCGGGCAAAUAAAAAGGCAUUUCAUAUUUUCCCGAAUCAUUUCGAUAUCCUUCUUGAGAGUCGGACUUUGGAAGAGAAAUUACAGGCAGAGUCGAUUAGGGCAAAGAAGAGAUGCAUUGUCUCGUUCUUGGCAACCCUUUCGUGGCGCUUGUCGCACCGAUCCUUCUCGUUGUGCUCGCGCACAAGCUUUGGAGUAAGAGGAGAGCAACUGCGCAAAGAAACAAGAAAGAUCUGCAUCCUGGUACGCCUAGUCCUCCGAUCCAGCCCAACGGAAACGAUUUUGAUGUGUUCUUGAGCUUUAGAGGUGUAGAUACUCGAAACGGCUUCAUCGACCACCUCUAUUGCAGCCUCAUCGGUGCUAGAAUCUGUGUCUUCAUGGACGACAAUGAACUCCGCUUGGGUGAGGGAUUGAGCGAAGAGCUUAGGCAAGCCAUUAGUAACAGCAAUAUUUUGAUCCCUAUUAUCUCUGAGAAUUAUGCCUCUAGCAAAUGGUGCCUUCAAGAAUUGGUUUGCAUGAUGGAGUGCCGAAAACAAUGGGGACACAAAGUGUUUCCCAUAUUCUACAAAGUGGAACCCGCGGGGGUGCGAUUUGAAAUGGGUUGUUUUAGAGAGGCAUUUCAUAAUUACAAGCGGAGGUGUUUUGACCCAGAGGUUGUGGCCAAAUGGAAGGAAGCGCUUGUAGAAGUCAGUUCCUUGAGUGGAUGGGAAUCAGAGAAAUUUGCUAAUGGGUAUCUUCAUUCUUUAACCAACACCUUGUUUACUUUGAUGAUAUCAACACCAUACAAUCUUUUUUUUUUUUUUUUUUAUGGAUCCGAUUCAUUUGUUUUGAUGAUGAAAGUUUUUGGCUGUAAUAUUUUGCCUUCCUUUAUGCAAGGAUUAUCUAACUUAUAUUUUUGCUUAUUUCUACCUACAUAAAGGCAGCAUUACUGUGUUUACAUUUAUGAAUAAGAUUUGGAUAAUUAAGAUGACUGACGCCUCUAAAAGAACCAAAAAUAAAUAAAUAAAAGGAAGAAGGAGGAGAAAAACAAACUGCUUUUAAAGCUUCAUUAGCCUCAAUCUUUUUUCUAAUAGAAUACGUCAGGGUAAUCUUAAAAAGAAGUUAUGAGUGCAUCUUCUGGAGCAAUCACGGGAUUGCUUUACCCCCUUUCAUCUUAACAAAUAAAAUAGGAAUGGAAGUGGGGAAAAGAUUUGAAAGUUUUCCAAAUUACCCCCAAGUUCUAUUGUUUGUGCUAUCGUUAGAUAAUACUUAUGUCAUUGAACUCAUUUUCAUUUGACAGGAGAGAAGGAGAAUUGGUAAAAUCGGUUGUGCAAAAAGUUUUGAAAGAUUUGAAGGAGUUGGUUGCUGAUGAUUAUUUGGUCAGAAUUGAUAGUCCUGUGGAGGAGGUUAUGGAAUUGGUGAACAAGAAUGCUAGUGCUACCCUGUGUGUGGGAAUUUAUGGAAUUACGGGCAUUGGUAAGACUACUCUUGCUAAAGUCAUAUACAAUAAGCUGUCUGAUCUAUUUGUGCAUCGUAGCUUCAUUGCAAACAUCAGGGUAUCGUGCGAACGUCAUGGUAUUAAUUACUUGCAAAAUCAAUUAAUCUUUGAUAUGCGGAAAAGAGAAAUUCAAUUUUGCAAUAGCGACGAAAGAAUCAAGUAUAUCUCGUCUUGGUUUAAAGAUGAGAAAGCCUUCAUUAUUCUUGAUGACGUGGAUACCACUAGUUAGUUAGAGGCUUUGGCUGGAAAUCCUUACUGGUUUGGCUCAGGAAGUAGGAUCUUUGUUACCACUAAAAACGAGAGUGUUCUUGAUAGAGUGAACAUCAAGUCCAAGCGUGAGCAAAUGCAUGAGAAGCAAUCUCUUGUCCUAUUUUCUAGACAUGCAUUUCGAAGAGACCAUCUUCCAUAUGAAUUUUUAGCUCUCUCAAGUCUUGUGGUAUCUACAAUGGAAGGGAUUCCCUUGGCUGUCAAGUUUGUAGGUUCAAUUUUGUGUGAAAAACCAUCACGAAUAUGGAGAGAAACAAUACGAAAGAUGCAAAAUAUGCCUCAUAUGGGCGUGCAAGAAAAGUUCAGGAUAAUUUGUGAAGAAAUGGGGGAGGAUCGAAAAAAUGCGGAAGAUGCAUCUUCCGCUGCUACGCCUUGUCCUUCCAUCCUGCCAAGUGAAAGCGAAAAUGAUUAUGAAGUGUUCUUGAGUUUUAGGGGUGUAGAUACUCGAAGAGACUUCAGCGACUACCUCUACUGCAACCUCGUUGAUGUUGGAAUCCGUGUCUUCAAUGACGACAAUGAGCUCCGUGGGGGCGAGAGUUUGAGCGAAGAUCUUAUGCGAGCCAUUAGGAAUAACAAUAUUUUGAUCCCAAUUAUCUUUGUGAAUUAUGCUUCUGGCAAAUGGUGCCUUAAUGAACUUGUUGAAAUGAUGAAGUGCAAGAAUUGCUUAGGGCACAUAGUGUUGCCUAUAUUCUACAAAGUGGAACCUGCGGAUGUGCGAGAUCAAAAGGGUCAAUUUGGAGAGGCAUUUC
rnacentral:lncRNA from 1 species